CACUACACCCCCUUCACUUACACACAAACACACUACAUGCACUCUAUACGCCCUAUAUAUACACUACACACCCUUCACUUACACACAAACACACUACAUGCACUCUAUACGCCCUAUAUAUACACUACACACCCUUCACUUACAGACAAACACACUACAUGCACUCUAUACGCCCUAUAUAUACACUACACACCCUUCACUUACACACAAACACACUACAUGCACUCUAUACGCCCUAUAUAUACACUACACCCCCUUCACUUACACACAAACACACUACAUGCACUCUAUACGCCCUAUAUAUACACUACACCCCUUCACUUACACACAAACACACUACAUGCACUCUAUACGCCCUAUAUAUGCACUACACCCCCUUCACUUACACACAAACACACUACAUGCACUCUAUACGCCCUAUAUAUGCACUACACCCCCUUCACUUACACACAAACACACUACAUGCACUCUAUACGCCCUAUAUAUACACUACACCCCCUUCACUUACA